rnacentral:rRNA from 1 species
CACCAUGGGAGUGGGUUGCAAAAGAAGUAGGUAGCUUAACCUUCGGGAGGGCGCUUACCACUUUGUGAUUCAUGACUGGGGUGAAGUCGUAACAAGGUAACCGUAGGGGAACCUGCGGUUGGAUCACCUCCUUACCUGAAAGAAGC